rnacentral:lncRNA from 1 species
AUUGUGUUCCUAAUCUGUUCAGCUAUUGGAGGAUAAAUAUUUCUACCGAACCAUGCAUGACUAAUGUGGCUGCAAAUUAUAUUGGAGUCAGUUUAUAAAUGAUACAACUUCUGACAACAGUUAAGCAUUGGUGUCAUGGCAAUUUGUGAGGUGGAAUUACGGGGUUGAAGUCGAUUGGCAGGAGAUGCUAUGCUACUACUCGGCAAUUGUUCUCUGACUGUAGCUGUCUACAACUGUGGCCUUGUUUAGUUCCGAAAAGUAAAAACUUUUCGGAACUGUAGCACUUUCGUUUGUUUGUGACAAAUAUUAUCCAAUUAUGGACUAACUAGGAUCAAAAGAUUCGUCUCGUGAUUUCCAGAUAAACUGUGUAAUUAGUUUUUGUUUUCGUCUAUAUUUAAUGUUUCAUGCAUUUGCCACAAGAUUCGAUGUGACGGAGAAUCUUGAAAAUUUUUUGGUUUUCAGGGUGAACUAAACAAGGCCUGUAUUGAUAUUUGGAGAUAGUGUAUCUUCUGACAACCAAGUGAGAAGAAAACGGAUAUUAUAUUAUAGUAUUAUAGGUAAAAACUUAGAAGGCUCUCGCAGUCUUUCUUAGCCCGAACUGACAGUAGUAACAUGAUCGGAGGUCUUCCUAGCUCCUCUUAGUUUCUGAAUAGGAGAACUGUAAAACAUUGAGUUGUUGGUGUUGUCUUUGUCAAUAAAGAUGCAGCAACACCCGAUGCAUUCAUCAUCAUGCAUGACUCCAUUGAUGAAUAUCCAGGAGCCCUGUGUGUGACGGU